CCUACGGGAGGCAGCAGUGGGGAAUAUUGGGCAAUGGACGCAAGCCUGACCCAGCAACGCCGCGUGAAGGAAGAAGGCUUUCGGGUUGUAAACUUCUUUUCAGAGGGAAGAGCAGAAGACGGUAACCCUUGAAUAAGCCAACGCUAACUACGAGCCAGCAGCCGCGGUAAUACGUAGGUGGGAAGCGUUUUCCGGAUUUACUGGGUGUAAAGGGCGUGGAGCCGGGGAUACAAGUUAGAUGUGAAAUCCACGGGCUCAACCCGUGACCUGCAUUUGAAACUGUUUCCCUUGAGUGUUGGAGAGGUAAUCGGAAUUCCGAGUGUAGCGGUGAAAUGCGUAGAUAUUAGGAAGAACACCAGUGGCGAAGGCGGAUUACUGGACGAUAACUGACGGUGAGGCGCGAAAGCGUGGGGAGCAAACAGGAUUAGAUACCCGGGUAGUC
rnacentral:rRNA from 1 species